rnacentral:rRNA from 1 species
ACUAGUGAUUUUCCGGUUGAUCCUGCCGGACCUUACUGCUAUCGGGUGGAGACUAAGCCAUGCGAGUUGUGCUUCUCCUAGCCAUGUUGGGGACGCAGCGCACGGCUCCGUAACACGUAGUUAAUCUGCCCUUGGGACGGGUAUAACCCUGGGAAACUGGGGCUAAUCCCUGAUAGGCGCAGUGGCCUGGAAUGGUACUGCACCGAGAGGGCUCCGAGAACACGCUCUUGGGGUCGCCCAAGGAUGAGACUGCGGCCGAUCAGGUUGUUGGUGGGGUAACGGCCUACCAAGCCUAUAACCGGUAUGGGCCCUGAGAGGGGGGGCCCGGAGAUGGGAACUGAGACAAGGUCCCAGGUCCUACGGGGCGCAGCAGGCGCGAAAACUCCACAAUGCGCGAAUGCGUGAUGGGGUUAGCCCGAGUGCCGUCCGAUGAGGAUGGCUUUUCUCCAGUGUAAGGAGCUGGAGGAAUAAAGGGGGGGCAAGACUGGUGUCAGCCGCCGCGGUAAUACCAGCCCCCUGAGUGGUAAGGACGAUUAUUUGGCCUAAAGCGUCCGUAGCCGGCUUGGUAAGUCUUCCGUUAAAUCCGGCGAUUCCAUCGUCGGCCUGCGGGAGAUACUGCCAGGCUUGAGGACGGGAGAGGUCGACGGUAGUCCCAGGGUAGGGGUGAAAUCCUAUAAUCCUGGGAGGACCACCAGUGGCGAAGGCGGUCGACUAGAACGUGCCUGACGGUGAUGGACGAAAGCUGGGGGAGCGAACCGGAUUAGACACCCGGGUAGUCCCAGCCGUAAACGAUGCGAGCUAGGUGUUGGAGCAACUACGAGUUGCUCCAGUGCCGCAGAGAAGUUGUUAAGCUCGCCGCCUGGGAGGUACGGCCGCAAGGCUGAAACUUAAAGGAAUUGGCGGGGGAGCACCACAAGGGGUGAAGCCUGCGGUUCAAUUGGAGUCAACGCCGGGAA